rnacentral:rRNA from 1 species
AAUGAACGCUGGCGGCAUGCCUUACACAUGCAAGUCGAACGGCAGCAUGACCUAGCUUGCUAGGUUGAUGGCGAGUGGCGAACGGGUGAGUAAUGCAUCGGAACGUGCCUUUUAGUGGGGGAUAACGUAUCGAAAGUUACGCUAAUACCGCAUAUUCUCUGAGGAGGAAAGCAGGGGACCUUCGGGCCUUGUGCUAGAAGAGCGGCCGAUGUCGGAUUAGCUAGUUGGGGAGGUAAAGGCUCACCAAGGCAACGAUCCGUAGCGGGUCUGAGAGGAUGAUCCGCCACACUGGGACUGAGACACGGCCCAGACUCCUACGGGAGGCAGCAGUGGGGAAUUUUGGACAAUGGGCGCAAGCCUGAUCCAGCCAUGCCGCGUGAGUGAAGAAGGCCUUCGGGUUGUAAAGCUCUUUCGGCUGGGAAGAAAUCGCACCCUCUAAUACAGGGUGUGGCUGACGGUACCAGCAUAAGAAGCACCGGCUAACUACGUG